rnacentral:tRNA from 1 species
GUGGCUCAGUGAGUAGAGUGCUGGCCCCAUAUGCCAGAGGUGGUGGGUUCAAACCCAGCC